AUUGAACGCUGGCGGCAGGCCUAACACAUGCAAGUCGAACGAGUGGCGGACGGGUGAGUAAUGUCUGGGAAACUGCCUGAUGGAGGGGGAUAACUACUGGACACGGUCGCUAAUACCGCAUACCAUCGGAUGUGCCCAGAUGGGCUUAGCUAGUAGGUGGGGUAAAGGCUCACCUAGGCGACGGUCCCUAGCUGGUCUGAGAGGAUGACCACCCACAAUGGAACUGAGACACGGUCGCGAUCCCUACGGGGGGCAUCAGUGGGGAAUAGUGCACAAUGGGCGCAAGCCUGAUGCAGCCAUGCCGCGGGUAUGAAGAAGGACUUCGGGUUGUAAAGUACUUUCAGCGGUGAGGCGUUACCCGCAGAAGAGGCACCGGCUAACUCCGUGCCAGCAGCCGCGGUAAUUC
rnacentral:rRNA from 1 species